rnacentral:lncRNA from 1 species
CCCAUCUCUACUGGUAUUAUACUAUAAGGAAGGCCCACCCCAUCUCUACUGGUAUUAUACUAUAAGGAAGGCUCACCCCAUCUCUACUGGUAUUAUGUAUUAUACUUUAAGCAAGGCCCACCCCAUCUCUACUGGAAUUAUGUAUUAUACUAUAAGGAAGGACCACCCAAUCGCUACUAUUAUUAUACUAUAAGGAAGGCCCACCCCAUCUCUACUGGAAUUAUACUAUAAGGAAGGCCCACCCCAUCUCUACUGGUAUUAUACUAUAAGGAAGGCCCACCCCAUCUCUACUGGUAUUAUACUAUAAGGAAGGCCCACCCCAUCUCUACUGGUAUUAUACUAUAAGGAAGGCCCACCCCAUCUCUACUGGUAUUAUACUAUAAAGAAGGCUCACCCCAUCUCUACUGGUAUUAUACUAUAAGGAAGGCCCACCCCAUCUCUACUGGUACUAUAAGGAAGGCCCACCCCAUCUCUACUGGUAUUAUACUAUAAGGAAGGCUCACCCCAUCUCUACUGGUAUUAUACUAUAAGGAAGGCCCACCCCAUCUCUACUGGUAUUAUACUAUAAGGAAGGCCCAUCUCUACUGGUAUUAUACUAUAAGGAAGGCCCACCCCAUCUCUACUGGUAUUAUACUAUAAGGAAGGCCCACCCCAUCUCUACUGGUAUUAUGUAUUAUACUAUAAGGAAGGCUCACCCCAUCUCUACUGGUAUUAUACUAUAAGGAAGGCCCAUCUCUACUGGUAUUAUAGUAUAAGGAAGGCCCACCCCAUCUCUACUGGUAUU